CUCAGCCCCACACGCACUCUCUUCCGCAUGGAGUUUACAGGGCGCACAGUCCCGAGGGGUUCCUGUUGCCUGUGAACUGGUCCUGGAGAAGAGGAGGCCCCUUUGAGGGCACCUUGGGAAUCGCAGGUGAACGCGCUCUCUGUGCGCCUGCCAGGCUUCUGGACAACCACUCGGUGGAAGCUAGAGUUCAUCUUCUAGCAAGAUGGUGGGGGCCCAGGCCUUCACACAGCUGUCUCUCCCCUGCGCAGACGUCCCCCUGUGAGGAUGGCUUUUCAGAUGCCUGGCAGAGAAGAUUAACUGCCAAGAUGCUCAACAGACUAAAGAAGGAAGUCUGAUACCAGUGGAGCCUCAGACUAGAAAGGGGCUCCAGGGGCCACAUGGUUCACCGUCCAGGAAGAGAAGGACCGUCAGGGCUGCUGGUCGUGAUCCCGCUUCCAUGCUAGCACCACCUGGGGCCCCUUAGAAAUCCCAGUGCUGGGCUGUGCCCCAGACCCACGCGAUCAGAGCAACAGCGUCUCAUGACUCACAUGAUCCUAACAGCAGCC